rnacentral:rRNA from 1 species
GACGAACGCUGGCGGCGUGCUUAACACAUGCAAGUCGAACGAUGAAGCCGGAGCUUGCUCCGGUGGAUUAGUGGCGAACGGGUGAGUAACACGUGAGCAAUCUGCCCUUGACUCUGGGAUAACUGCGGGAAACUGUAGCUAAUACCGGAUACGACACCUUGGGGCAUCCCAGGGUGUGGAAAGAAUUUCGGUCAAGGAUGAGCUCGCGGCCUAUCAGCUAGUUGGUGAGGUAAUGGCUCACCAAGGCGACGACGGGUAGCCGGCCUGAGAGGGUGACCGGCCACACUGGAACUGAGACACGGUCCAGACUCCUACGGGAGGCGGCAGUGGGGAAUAUUGCACAAUGGGCGAAAGCCUGAUGCAGCAACGCCGCGUGAGGGAUGAAGGCCUUCGGGUUGUAAACCUCUUUUAGCAGGGAAGAAGCGAAAGUGACGGUACCUGCAGAAAAAGCACCGGCUAACUACGUGCCAGCAGCCGCGGUAA